AUUGAACGCUGGCGGCAUGCCUUACACAUGCAAGUCGAACGGCGGCGCGGGGGCAACCCUGGCGGCGAGUGGCGAACGGGUGAGUAAAAUAUCGGAACGUGCCCUAAAGUGGGGGAUAACGUAGCGAAAGUUACGCUAAUACCGCAUACGAUCUUAGGAUGAAAGUGGGGGAUCGCAAGACCUCAUGAUUUAGGAGUGGCCGAUAACUGAUUAGCUAAUUGGUGAGGUAAAGGCUCACCAAGGCGACGAUCAGUAGCUGGUCUGAGAGGACGACCAGCCACACUGGGACUGAGACACGGCCCAGACUCCUACGGGAGGCAGCAGUGGGGAAUUUUGGACAAUGGGGGAAACCCUGAUCCAGCAAUGCCGCGUGUGUGAAGAAGGCCUUCGGGUUGUAAAGCACUUUUGUCAGGGAAGAAACGGUUAGUGCUAAUACCAUUAACUAGUGACGGUACCUGCAGAAAAAGCACCGGCUACCUACGUGCCAGAAGCCGCAGUAA
rnacentral:rRNA from 1 species